UCUCUCGGUUUGGAUUUUGGAAACAACAAUAGGAAACGGAAGAGAAUAAAGGAAAAUCGAAUAGGUAGACAAUGACUCAGAAACACAAAUAGAAGCCGGAGGGCGGAUACCUCAUUGGCCAAACCGGCCGUCGGCAUCGAAUAUCUCUUUGUUUUGCUCAAUCGCCAAAUCCAACGAUUGGAAUAUGAACAAGGUCCAUCACUUUCUGAUCAAAGUCAGUUCAAUUUCACUUGCAUUUAUACAUGUUCAUUUUCGGAUUUUGAACAGUUAAACUCAAUGAAUUUGUGGCACUCGUAGAUUAAAAUAUAGAUAUGUCUUUCAUCAGAACUGUGAUCGUGUAAAACAAGACCAAUAUUGCUGAAAUUAAGCUGGCGGAUUAAUUCUUUCCCUCACAAUAGUUACUUGAAGUUUUUCUAAGGGGCAGGAUAUUGGGGACAACUUUUUUCUUUGACUGUGCAGGAAUAUGGACAAAACACGUGCAUCUGAACACUCGCAAAUGCCUUUUGUAGUUCUGUCCCAGUAAGAAGUUUGUAAGGUGUCACGAAAGUAUUUCUUGUAUAUAACAAUAGCAAAACUGAGAAUUCAAGCUAGCAAGUCGAAUUUUUUUAAAAAGCACUCUUUGACACACUUGACAUAGUAACAACAUUAAGAAACGAGGUCCCACAGAAUGAAGGGAUAUAAUUACUGAA